rnacentral:rRNA from 1 species
ACGUAGGAGACGAGCGUUGUCCGGAGUUAUUGGGCGUAAAGGGUGCGCAGGCGGCCCUGCGCGUGGACAGGUGAAAGCUCCUGGCUUAACUAGGAGAGCGGUGUCCAGACGGCAGGGCUUGAGGCUCGUAGAGGGGCGUGGAACUCCGGGUGGAGCGGUGAAAUGCGUAGAGAUCCGGAAGAACACCGACGGCGUAAGCAGCGCCCUGGGCGAGACCUGACGCUCAGGCACGAAAGCUAGGGGAGCAAACAGGAUUAGAUACCCUGGUAGUCCUAGCCGUAAACGAUGUCCACCAGGCGCGGGAGGUAUCGACCCCGUCCGCGCCGAAGCUAACGUGAUGAGUGGACCGCCUGGGGAGUACGGCCGCAAGGUUA